rnacentral:rRNA from 1 species
GUGCCAGCCGCCGCGGUAAUACCAGCUCCGCGAGUGGUCGGGGUGCUUACUGGGCCUAAAGCGCCCGUAGCCGGCCCGGUAAGUCGUCCCUGAAAUCCACGGGCUCAACCCGUGGGCUGGGGACGAUACUGCCGGGCUUGGGGGCGGGAGAGGCCGAGGGUACUCCCGGGGUAGGGGCGAAAUCCGAUAAUCCCGGGAGGACCACCAGUGGCGAAGGCGCUCGGCUGGAACGCGCCCGACGGUGAGGGGCGAAAGCUGGGGGAGCAAAGGGGAUUAGAUACCCCUGUAGUCCCAGCUGUAAACGAUGCGGGCUAGCUGUUGGGCGGGCUUAGAGCCCGCCCAGUGGCGGAGGGAAGCCGUUAAGCCCGCCGCCUGGGGAGUACGGCCGCUAGGCUGAAACUUAAAGGAAUUGGCGGGGGGGCACCACAAGGGGUGAAGCUUGCGGCUUAAUUGGAGUCAACGCCGGAAACCUUACCCGGGGCGACAGCAGGAUGAUGGCCAGGCUAACGACCUUGCCGGACGUGCUGAGAGGAGGUGCAUGGCCGUUGUCAGCUCGUGCCGUGAGGUGUCCGGUUAAGUCCGGCAACGAGCGAGACCCCCACCCCUAGUUGCUAACCCUGGCCUCCGGGCCAGGGGCACACUAGGGGGACUGCCGGCGUAAGCCGGAGGAAGGAGGGGGCCACGGCAGGUCAGUAUGCCCCGAAACCCCGGGGCUGCACGCGAGCUGCAAUGGCGGGGACAGCGGGAUCCGUCCCCGAAAGGGGGAGGUAAUCCCGUAAACCCCGCCCCAGUAGGGAUCGAGGGCUGUAACUCGCCCUCGUGAACGUGGAAUCCCUAGUAACCGCGUGUCACCAACGCGCGGUGAAUACGUCCCUGCCCCUUGCACACACCGCCCGUC